GCGGGAGGUGCUGGGAGUUGUGGUCCCGACCCAACUCCCUCCUCUUUCGCUGUCGGUAUGCUGUCGCAGGCGCAAGGAAGGCCGGGAUUGUAGUUUCCCUGGCUUCACCUCCAUACCCUCCUUCUCCGGCUUCGCGCGCCUCUCCUCCAGCUGCCGUCUCCCAACCAAUCGGCUGCGCUCUCUGCUACGUGUGGCGUCACACGUAGAGGCCAAGAUGGCGUCGGUAGCUGGAGCUGGGGCUUUGCCGCGACCUUUACUCUAGGCGAGGUUAGGGACGGUAGGAAAGCAGCUUUGUCCCUGAAGCGCUGUUGAGGAUUAGGAUCGGAUUCCUCAGAGUCAUGGGAGCAAUUGUCAGCGGCCUCCACAGCCCCCACCAGACGCGAGUCAAGGAGAGAGAAUCCACGCUACGAGAACCGACAUAGCGGACGUUGCGAUUGCCAGAGCCCAGGCUGGCGGUUGCCGAGUUGCCAGUGGAGAAGUGGAACCCGAGCGUUCUUCACUUCGGGUCUCUCUCCACGUGUGAAGUGGGAAUGAUAGUGAUAUCUCGUGCUUUAGCUGUCAAAGGCAAGAAGGAGAAGGUAUUUGUUAGAGGCCCUACGACGUGAUCUUCAAAUUGGUAGGGCUUAAGAACACAGUUCAUCUCUACUCCUCUGGAGUCCACUGGGACAGCUUGAUGGCUAAAAUCUGGAAUCAUCUGAGGUCUCAUUCAUUCAUAUGACCAGCAAUUGAUGUUGCCUGGAAUCUUUGCUGGGAUUAUCAGCAGAAACAUCAGUGUGUGGCAUCUCCAUGUGGCCUAUGCUUCCUUACAACAUGUGGCCAGAUUCCAAGGCAAGUGACUAGAGAGAAAAGAGACAAAAGAAAACUGGAAGUUUUUGUCAUCAAACUAUGGGAGCCAUGCCAUUAUUUCUGCAAUACUCUUGAUUGGAACAGUCAAGCCCACCCAGGUUCAAGGGGAACCUAACAGAAGAGUGGUAGAGUUCUGAAAGAACACAUGGGACCAGAAAUACUGCUGUGGUCAUUUUUGAAAAACAUCAUCUGCUGUAGUCAGUCCUAGUCACAAUUCAUAUCUCUCUCACAUGGCAAAACAUAUUCAUUCCUUCCUCCCCAAACCCCCAGUCUCUUCCCAUUGUGAUAGCAGAAUCAGUCUGCCAAGAGGCUAAGAGGCUGCAGUCAAACUGUGAGAUUCCAUUUAUAGAAAGUUCAAAAGCAGCAAAAGUAAUCUAUAGUGCUAGAAGUCUGGAUAGUAAAUAACUUUAGAGAAGCAACUACUUGGAGCAGGUAGGAACCGUGGAACUAUGAAUGUUCUAGAUCUUGAUCUGGGUAGGGGUUACAUGAAUAGAUAGGCCUAAGUAAAAGCUUAUCAAGCUAUACUUGUAAGAAUGUAUCUUUUAUGUAGUUUAUACCUCAAUAAAAAGUAAAAAGGUGCUGUAA